rnacentral:rRNA from 1 species
UAUUUAUUAUAUUAUUUUUUGUUUUUGUAUGCUUUAUUAUUUAAUAGAAAUAACUUUGUUUUGUUUUGUCUUAGUAUUUUUUCAUGAAUUGAUUAAAAAUAAUUAUAGCUUAUUAGUAAUGUAAUUGAAUUAUGAAAUAUUGUUUUAAAUUAAUAAAAGUAGAUUUUAUUUAUUGUACCUUUUGUAUCAGGGUUUAUCAAUAUUUUGGUAUUUAUUAACUAUUCUCGAUUUAGGUUGAUUUAUAAACAAAUUUUAGUUAAUGUUUCAUAAUUAUUAUGAAUUUGUUUAUAGAAAUGAAAUGUUAUUCGUUUCCUAAGGUAUCUAGUUUCUUAAGAAAAAUUUUAAUUUUUUAUAUUUAAUGUUUUUGUUUAAUUUUUUAAUUGGAAAUAUCAAAUAAUUUAUUUUUUAGGGGAUAAGCUCUGAAAUAAUUAUCCUAUAAUUUAUUUAAUUUAAAAUUUAAUAAUAAGCUUUAAAUCAGCUAUUUUUAAGAUUACGUUUUAGUUCAUUAUUUUUGUUAUGAUUUUAUAAUUAUUUUAGGUUUUUUAUUAAGAUGAUAAAUUUAAUAUUUAAAUUUUUGUAAUAAUGAUGGAAUUAGUAUAUUUAUUUUGUUUAUAAUAUUUUUUAUUUUUAAUUUAUUAUAAGGAACUAGGCAAAUUAAUUUCCGCCUGUUUAUCAAAAACAUGUCUUCUUGAUAAUAUUUUGAGGUUUGGCCUGCUCACUGAUAAUUUUAAAGAGCCGCGGUAUUUUGACCGUGCAAAGGUAGCAUAAUCAUUAGUCUCUUAAUUAGAGGCUGGAAUGAAUGGUUUGACGAGAAAUUAACUGUCUCUUAAUAAGUUUUAAAAUUUAACUUUUGAGUUAAAAGGCUUAAAUUUUUCUUUAGGACGAGAAGACCCUAUAGAGCUUGAUAUUUUAAUUUUAUAUUUUUUUAAGAUGGUCUUUUUAUAUUAAAUGAUAAUAUUUUGUUGGGGUGAUAUUAAGAAUAAAGAAACUCUUUAUUAUAAAAUCAUUAAUUUAUGUUUAUUUUGAUCCAUAAUUUAUGAUCAUAAGAUUAAGUUACCUUAGGGAUAACAGCGUAAUUGUUUUUGAGAGUUCAUAUUGACAAAGCAGAUUGCGACCUCGAUGUUGGAUUAAGAAAAAUUUUGGGUGCAGUGGCUCAAUAAUUAGGUCUGUUCGACCUUUAAAUUCUUACAUGAUCUGAGUUCAGACCGGCGUGAGCCAGGUCGGUUUCUAUCCUAAGAUUAAUAAAUUCAUAUUAGUACGAAAGGACCAUAUGAGUGAAAUAUUUUUUAUCUUUAUCUUUGAUUAAAAUUAAUUGUU